CUCCAAGUAGGAAUACAGCCUUUUAAGGUCUGAGCCUCUCAGUCCCACAUGCACACGAAGUUGUUGCUGUUGCAGACAGCUGGCAGGUGGUUUUCUUUACUUGCAGGUUUGUUUGCUACCUGUACAGCUUGUAGCUUUCGUCACAUGCAGCAACACUUCAGAAGAGUUUAAAAUAAUAAAGUUGAUCUGCUUUUUACGGAAUACAGCCUCUUCAGGUCUGAGCCUCUCAGCCCAAUGUGCUCAUGGGUUUGUUGCAGCCAGCUGGCGAAAGGUGUUCUUCUUGCUGGCUUGAUUGAUACCUGUACAGUUUGCAGCUCUCUUCACAUGCAAAAAUACUUCAGAGCAAAUAAAAUUAAUCAAGUUGAUCAGCUUUUCUACGGAUUACAAGUUUACAACCUCUUCUGAGGCUCUGAGCCUCUUGAUGGCAGUCCAAUGUGCAGAAAGACUUGGGUGCAUCUAGCUGGUGAACGGUGGGUUGAGUUGUUCAUGCAGAUUCGGGUGUUGAUAUUGUGUGUAAAAUUAUGUUUACCGGUGGCGAAGUGUCCGUGAGUGAAAUGAUUGAGGUAUUCUGACGCCAUUCGACCAAGCUGAAUCGAAAGUGAACAACUCUAAAGCAAAUCAUGCCUUUCUCCAAGUGGUCGCUGCCAUGUCAUGAAGAUACGUCUUUGAGAGGGUCUCUACACUAUUGAUUUCAUGGUCAUUUUCCAGUUGACAGAUGGACUUGAAUGGAGUUUGUGCAGACUUGCAGUUCAACAUCAUACCAUUCAUACCUCUUUCUUAUUUUUCUAUGCUUGUUGUGUUCAUGCGGUGUUGAAAAGUUGCUGAAAAUAGUCCAUGUUGCCUGAUGGUUGUCGGGCAUAUUUAAUCGACUGCAUUUUGUCGAUUCCUUCUUUUGCUACCUGUGCGUUGAGUGAGUCGCCGUUCCAUAGCUGAAACUGAAGAGACUGCUGAAAUUUAAGACUGAUAAAUUAUGUAGAUGAUCACAAUAGUAUAGCUGUGCUCCUUCCUUCCCCGUGUUAUUAAGUAAACAGUAACCAACCAACACCCCUAGCUGACCAUCACCCCCCGGUCAUAAUGCGAUAAGCUCCAUGAUAUGUGGAAAAUUUGGAAAAUUAUGAGGGAAACUUUUUUAUGAACACUUUACUUGCUUAAUUAACAUUCGUUUCAAAAUUCUAUUUUUACAAUUCAACAAGUAU
rnacentral:lncRNA from 1 species